UACGUAGGGGCCAAGCGUUGUCCGGAUUUAUUGGGCGUAAAGAGCUCGUAGGCGGUUGGGUAAGUCGGGUGUGAAAACUCCAGGCUCAACUUGGAGAUGCCACCCGAUACUGCUCUGACUUGAGUUCGGUAGGGGAGUGGGGAAUUCCUGGUGUAGCGUUGAAAUGCGCAGAUAUCAGGAGGAACACCGGUGGCGAAGGCGCCACUCUGGGCCGAAACUGACGCUGAGGAGCGAAAGCGUGGGUAGCAAACAGG
rnacentral:rRNA from 1 species